UUCUCACGCAACCUUCAUCUAUAAUUGUUCAUACCAAAAAGUCAUCUGAGAAACUGAGAAAAAAAAAUAAAAGAACAGAGCUUCGUGUCUUCAUCUUCCCGGUUUCUCACCAGCACACUCUCAACGAACGUCUCUCUCAUUCCCAAUUCUGAAACUCAAACUGUCUCUUCUCUCUCACUGCCACUAGAGUCUCUCUCGAUCUCACUAGAUUCUCUACUCGUUCACACUCACCAGCGUCUCGUUGCUGCUCUCGUCUCGUCGCCGGCAUUUCAACGUCUCACGGCCUUCCCUGGGCUCCUCCUCGCCGGCGACAGAAGCACUCAUCAGAUCGUCGUCGCUCAUCGUCUUCUGGUUUCAAGUACUCGCUGUCGCGAGUCGCCGUGGAUCGUGGACCAUCGUAGGGUCGUCAAUUGCUUCGUUGCUCGUCCUCUUCUGGGGUCGGGUCCUCUUCGUCACCCAGUCGCCGUUGGAUUGUCACAAUACACAUAUUUCAUAACAAUUUGAUCACCGGUGAAAACUCAUACAGCAAACUUUCUUGUUGAUUUGAGGAGCUGUUUAAUUUAGCCAACUCAGAUUCAAGUGCCACUUCUCAGUACCAAUUUAGCAUUACCGGUUUUGAGCUCUAUAAUGAAUAGGUCCUGUUCUCUUUUACUUACUGUAUACAACUUUCCUGGUAUCCACUGUUUGCUUCCUGGUUUUUGGUUGGCAAUUUUCUUGUAUACAACUCUUAAAGUUGUUUAUUUAAAAAAAGCCAAGUUCCUAGUUGUUUAUAAGUUAUCUUGGAAGUGAUUAUACUCCCUGUACAGAUUGCACAGAAUAUAAGAACUCAAGUAAAACUUUAUGUCACUAUCUAGCUAUCCUUUGUAAAAUGAGUGGAGGAACUUUAAUUUUCAGGAGGGGGAGACUCACAUAAAAAUGGCAAAAACAAUUUUUUUUUUUAGUUGCUGACGUGUUACUCUGUGAUUGGUUAUUUAUGUUACAUUUUGUAACUUCUCUUUGUAACAAAAAUUACAACCAAAAUAUAUAUUAUUAGAGAUGUCAACCAACUAUUUUAAUGGUGUAUGCAUGGAAAUGUGGAACUGUAUUAUGUAAGAUUAUUAUAUAUCUAGGUCGCAUGCAUGGACUUCUUCAAUCAAAAGGAGGGAAGACAUGGUAAAGGAUGAUGACACUAAGAGGCUCUACCAUUUCUACUUUAGCAAUAAUUUUGUAUAUUAUUAUUACUAUUAUGCAUAACAAGUUUGAACUCUUAAGUUAGCUAGCUGAAUUUGAUUUACAUAUAAUGGUUUUUCAUAUGAAGCUAUUCCAUUAAAUAUUUUCCCUUAAAUUUGUUUGUUUAGUUGCAUAUUUUAAUGCACAGUCUUCUCAAUGAACAUUACAAUGAGCAUGUAACUAAUUUAAAAAUCAUGGCUUGUAACUUUAUUGUUGUAUUGAUGUGAACAAGCUUGAAACUUACAACCAAAGGUCAUAACAACAUUUAAUUAAAAUCAAUCCCACACAUAAAUGGGGAAACCUUGUUCUUGCCACAGAGAAGGAGAAAAAAAAUUGUAUUCCAUACAACAAAAAUGGUAGCAUACAAAGAAGGAAAAUUUUUCCCAUUAUUUGUUACCUAAAAGUACAAGGGACUGGCCCCAGAGAAUUAAAUGGCACCAGGGUCAAGCACCAAAAAUGAACUGUAAAGAAUAGACUAAAACAAAAACAAGGUUGG